rnacentral:lncRNA from 1 species
ACAGGGGCAGUUUCAGAAGGUUUGUCUCAGUCUCAAUAGAGACAGACCAAUCCUAAAAUUCUGGGCAAAAGAAAUAAUAUUUCGCCUUUUAAUUAUUCUAAUAUUUUUCUUUUUGUAUUUUUGUUGCACAAGAUUUAUUUAUAAUCAAAGUUCUUUAAAAAGAUAUUUUAAAUAGAAUUAAUCAAAGUAAAUUAAAAAGAAAUAUAUCUAUAUUAUACUUACUACUAAGUAAAAAUAAUAAUUUGGAUGCGCUUAAAAAAAUGAUGCCCUGGACUACCAUUCCUCCCGUCCACCCUCAGGGGCACCCUUAUAGAGACAAUUGUGACAGUUUCGGAUAGUUCAAUUGCUUGAUUAAUCUAGAUAUUUAUUGGUAAUAAGAUUUUUUUUUUUUGAACAAGCCAAAAUGCAAAAUAAUAAAUCACCAAGAGUGUUUCAUCUCGCACAAGGUGUGCAAAAGAGAAACACCCCAAAAAUUGUACAAAACAGUCACGAAUAUCUCAUACUGGAGCACCUCCAAAUUCCAAGGAAAACAGACAUAAAUUACAGCAUUAGACCCAUAAAAGAUAAAGGAGACCUCCACUAGUCAUGAUGAUAGCUGAACACGAAAGUAAUGAGAUUCGCCUUCAAUCACUGGAAAGAUGUCAUUUUUAGCUUGUCUGUUAAUAUAGUUGGAGCCAAUGCCUUGUUAUUAAAAACUCUGUUAUUCCUGUCCUUCCAAAUGAUUCAGACACACUCAAAUUGAUGUCUAACCAAUGGAGAAGAUCAUACCAGACGCUGCCAAAGGUUGUGCAACCAAGAAACAAGUGACCUGCAUUCUCCUCACUACCGCACCCUCCAACACAACUGAUAUCGUCAUACUGAAGAACACGACGGCGCAAAGAGAUUAUCUUUUGUCGGAAGACGGUUACGAAGAAGACGCCAAGCAAAAAUUGAAACCUUUAAUGGGACUUUCUUAUGCCAAACGUCAUUGAACAAUCCCCUUGCAAUAGGUUCAUCACCUGUUGUUAGAAAUUUAUAUGUUCCCUUAACAGAGUAACCAUUAACGGGAUCAAGAAGCCACCUCUACUUAUCUGACAAAUAAUCCUGCAAAACAAUAUCAUGUAACAAGACAUAACAUUGCCUAACACAAUCCUCCUCCCAAGUAGGGCUGGAAAUGAGCCGAGUGGAAUCGAACCUGUUUGAGUUCGACUUGGCUUGUUAAGAAUUGGCUCGGUCCGGACCUCGUUCGAGCUUGACCCGAACUUUUUUUUUCAGUCCGAGUUCGGCUCGUUUAAAGUUCACGAACAGUUUGGUUCGGCUCAUUAGGUUCAUUUCGUUUGUUCAAAGCACGUAACUUUAGGUUAGGUAUGGAAAUAAGUAAAGCCGCUUGAACCACGUAACUCAAAAGUCAAAAGAAUUUAAAUUUUUUACCCAUAAAAUAUAUUGGAAUUUAUACCAAUUUUUAAUGGACUGAACGAGACUAUUAUUACACAUAGUAAUUAACAUCGAUAUGCAACCACCAAAUUGAAUUUUGCCUUCUUGUGCCAUAUGUUUCUCUUAUUAUAUAUAUGAUCAAUUAUCUAUAAAUUUUAAAAUAUUUUUUUAAAUGUUAUAUAUAUAUAUAAUCGAGUCAUCUCGUGAACCAAACGAGCCGAACUACAUAUAGCUCAAGUUCAGCUCAAUUAAUUCACGAACUUAAUUUUCAGCUCAAGUCUGGUUCAUUUGGUUCAUGAACCAAGUUCAAUGAAUCAACUGUCGAAUCGAAUUACGAACUUUAAUCGAGUUGGUUCGGUUCAUUGUCAGCCCUACUCCCAAGCAAAUAGGCGCCUCCUCAACACCCAAGCACUCCCCAUCCUCCCAACCCUGCAUCGCCAUAUCCUCUACAGUUGCCCAUUUGUCAAUGGUUAAAUCAAAAAGGCGAGGAAAUCUUAACCGUAAAGGCACACUUCCCACCUAGUUAUCCGUCCAAAAGAAAGUGGUACCUCCCCCGCAAUCCAUGCGCAUACAUUAUCUUCAAACCAACUUCCAUCCCCCCACCCUACACCACCACGAAUGCGUGACUGCAUCCGCCACCAUAAAGAACUGUCACGCCCCCUCCUUCAGGCGCCCACCUUCCUCCCCGUACCUAGCCUUCAGGACUCGAUACCACAACCCCUCCUUAUCAACCAACAUCCUCCAACUCCACUUCCCUAGUACUGCUAAAUUAAAUUCAUACAAUCUCCGCACACCUAGCCCUCCUUCCUCCUUAGGGACGCAAAUCGAAUCCCAAUUCACCCAGGCAAUUUUCCUAAAAUCCGCACCACCCCCCCAAAAAAAUCUUUUUAAUAAAGUUGUAAGGGAAGAAAAUAUACAUGUGGGAGCCUUGAAAAAGGAAAGAAAGUAAACCGGAAGAGAAGACAGGACAAAUUUCAACAAUACCAGACGGCCAACAAAAGAUAGAAACUUAUUUUUCCACACCGAUAACCGAGACACAAUGUGAUCAAGCACAGGUUGCCAAAAACUACACCGGCGCAUAUCCGCACCAAUAUGUAAUCCCAAAUAUAUAAAAGGAAUUUUACCCGUCCAACAAUUCAUAACCGACACUGCUUCAGUCAACCAAGAGUCUGACACAUUGACACCCGUUAGCAUACUCUUGUGAAAAUUAACCUUCAAUCCGGAUGCCGCCUCAAAAAGAAUUAAAACUGCCUGCAUUGACCUCACAUUCAACCAACUCUUCUCCCCUAUAAUCAAUGUAUCAUCCGCAAAUUGAAAGUGAGUUAACUGCACCUCAUUGUGAUUACCCACAUGGUAACCAGUAAACAAAUGAGCAUCCACCAAAUACUUCAUCAUGACAUUAAACCUCUAAGCCGCUAUCAGAAACAAAAUGGAGAUAGAGGGUCCCCUUGUCGGAGCCCCCUUUCUAAAGGAAACUCCUCUGUAGGGCUGCCAUUCACCAACACGGAUGCCACCGUAGUUCCUACACACUCAGCAAUCCAUUUCCUCCAAAGAGUCGGGAAAUUCAUUUUAACCAUGACCGUAUCAAGAUAUUAUUUUUAAUCAUAUAUUUCAUUACUUUUUAACUUAGCUCAAUGUUUUAGGAAUUUAUUCCGAAUUUCAAUUUUGCUUAUUAUAUUAGUCUAAACUGUUUGUUUAAAAUGAUUUCUUUCCUAUUUAAUUUGUUGUUGAACUUUGUUAUACAAUUUCUUCUAAAUUCACAUCAUCAAUUUAAAUUUUCUCAAAUUAUUAAUCUAAAAUAUGAAAAUUCUUUUCAUCUUUGUGAAAUCAUUUAUUAGAGAAUGAGUCAUAAAAAUGAAAUGUGUUUUUUAGUUAGGCGAAUGAGUUAGAAGCAUCUAGUAUCACAUUUUAUUCAUUGUGGAAACACACACUUUUAACAUUACUAUCUAUUAUUUAUAUCUAUUGUCAAAAAACACUAUUAUUAAUAUCUUAGAAAUGCAUAAAUACAAUCCAUGCUCUCUAAAUUUUACAUGACAAUUUACCAAAUGUAUAUCGUUUAAAAAGUUUCAUUGUGAAUGAGUUUGUCUUAUUAUAUUAUUCUAAAAUGUUUCAUGAUUUUGUUGUCUAAUAUGAAAUUAUUUUUUCCUAUUUGUAGUUGAAUAUUGUCAUGCAAUUUCUUCUAAAUUCUUUUUCUCAUAUUAUCAAUAAAAAAAAGUUAUUUCAUCUUUGCGAAAUCAUGAUUGGAAUGGAGAAUGAGUCAUAAAAAUGAAAUGAGUUUUUCAUUUAGGUGAAUGAGUUAGGAGCAUCUACUAUCACAUUUUAUUCAUUAUUAAAAUGCACACUUUUAACACAAUUAUUUUUUUAUUUUUUUAUCUUAGACAUACAAAAAUACAUGUCAUUCUCUCUGGAUUUUUCUUCCAUUUUUUCCUUCAUUUAAACUAUUUAAUCAUUUUUAUAAUAUUAUUUAAAUUUUAAAUCAUCAUUUAAAAAAUUAGUGAAAUAGAAACAAUACAUUACAACAAUAGAAGUAACAAUCCAUAAAUAUUCCCUAAAAAAAAGAAUCCAUAACAAUAUUGGACACUAUAAGAAAAACCUUAUUUUAACCUUAUAUAAAAAAAUAUUUUGGUGGGGGGUAACAUCUUUUCUUAAAUUCACUUAAUUAUUUUUACCAUUUUAUUUGCUCUUUAAAAAAUUGCCAAUUAUUUCUUUUUUGAAAAAUAUUAGUUUACAAUAAUUAUGAUGUAAAAUGAUAAAAAAAAAAAAAAAAAAAAAAGUGAUAUUUACAUUUUUAAUGUUAACUAAACUACGAACUACAAUACUUUAAAUAUUUUGAAAACUCAGAAAUACUCAAGUUUAUUUCAAUUUCUAACUUUUUUAAGCCAUUCAUACUACUAAAAUCUUUUUUUUUUUUUUUUGUGGUGGCCAGGGUUUGAACCUCAGACCUUACAUAUAUUAAAUAUUGUCCAUACUAAUUGAGUUAACCUCACAAAGACAUACUAAAAUCUAUAUAACACAAGCAAAACAUGAUUAUUUUUUAUUCCUCUACAAAUUUUAUCCACAAGUUCAAUCUUUUCUUUUUUUUCCUUCCGAAAGUAAACUUGAAAUUUGUAGUUUUCACGUUUCCAUUUUUGAAUCAUAUUCACUAUUUGAGACAAACCAUUUCAUUCUAAUCCUAAUAUAUUACUCCCUCCGUCCCAAAUUGUAUGUCGCUUUAGGAAGAAAAAAAAUGUCCCAAAUUAUAUGUCGUUUUACAAUACCAAUGCAACAUUAAUGUUAUUUUUUCUAUUAUAACCUUAACUAUUUAUUACUAUCUUUUCUUUCAAUUCUUUCAUUUAUCUUUCUCAUGUUAUUUAUUAAGGACAAUUUUGUAAAACAACUCAUAAUAUCUUUUUUCCAUACAAUAUUAAUUGCAUUUCUUAAUAUGUGUGAAAUGCUCAAAACGUCAUACAAUUUAGGACGGAGGGAGUAGACACAACUUUUAUUCCUAUUCCUCUUUCCCCCAUUACCUCAAAGUUCAACCUGACAUUGUUCAUCCACAUGAAACCUUCAAGAAAACUCAUAUGUGCUAGUAAUAAUAGUGUUCCUUCACCCGUAUCAUUGACUAUAGAUACGGUUACUUCAUUCAUAGUUAUGGCCAUUAGCCAUGGUUAUGACAGAUAGUGAAUUAUUACCGCAAGUAACAGUGAAAAAACCAUGUCGGCGAGUGAAAUAGACAUAAGCUCAAGUAGUGGAUGAGUUGUUGGCUCUGACCGUGUGCUCGUUGAAGAACAAGUCGACGACUCAUAGCCAAUGACUUGGUUAAGCGAAAUUGUUUCUUAGCGUAGCGAAAGCGAGGAUCAUUGUCAAAACAACUGAUUUUGAUUAGCGCCAUUUAAUCAUAGAGUUGGCUGCUUUUCGGUCAACUAUGCAUAAGUACAAAUCACACAUGUGAAUUUUAACUUUUUAUAUAUGUUGGGGCCACCUACAAUUCAUAUGAAUUUUAACUAAGUACUAUCUUUGAAUAAUAAGCCUCAUCAGUAGUCGUAACGAUGGUGGAAUCAGCAAUGGCUGAACAAUAAUGCAGUUUUAGUUUCUUAUGUCACACCUAAUUUCAUAGUUUCUUAUCAAAAUGAGAUUAUUUUUUUUACAGAAGAUCUUGCGUGGGUUGAUUCAUACCUAACAAUUUUGAUAUUUUAGAAAGUGAUUGGAUGCCUUUUAGAAAUGCUUUGUUAGAAAUUAUCAGUUCCGAAUUCAAUCUUCCAAAGUUGAUGACAGAGAAGGCAAGUAUUCCUUGUGGUAGAGGAGACAAAUAUUACUUUCCAACUCAAUCAGUCAUUUUCGACUUCUGAUGUAGAGCACUUGCAAAGUCGUUCUUCGAGUAUAAUGUUAGCCUAAUAAGUAUGGUUACAGAACCAAGCACAAACACUGAAUUCACUAACACCUUAUCUUUUUCAACCUUUUAAGGAAAUCUUUUUUUGCCAACUUAUAAUAUGGACGAGACCGAACAAAACAUUUGAUUUAUGACUUGAGCUUGAUUCUGCAACUUAUGAGAUGGAUUAGGCUUAGGCAUCUGAGAAUAUCUUCAAACUCUUGGGAUGUGGGUUAUGCAACUGAUGAGAGUGACUGAGAGUAUCUUCAAAGUUUGGGAUUUGGGUGAACUUGUUAAAGAGUUGAAAAACGCUAUAUCUUUCUUUGCGGAAGGACCUGAAGGAAAGAUCGCUUGAUGAUCUUAUUGCUGGCAUUGCUGAUUUGUCUUUAAAUAAGAAAGUUUAAUUUUCUUUAAUCUUGAUCCAUCUAUUUUAACUCUAUUUAAGUAUUAGCAUUAGAAGCGUUAAUGAGUACAGAAAAUACUAAAGGAAUAAGAAUAUAAAGGAAGUUAACGAGUAAUUAGCAGCAAGGACAAUUUGAUUUAUAGUUCAAAUUAAAGUAGUCAACAACAUUCAUUACAAAUUGCAAAAUAAGAUAUAGUGUAUGUUUGGUAUAACAAUUGCAAAACGAAGUUUGAUAGAAAUCACGGCAAAAAACUAUGUCAGGGUAGAAGCUGGUAUUUGGAGCUUCUGUAGAUCACGAUUCACGACAAAAACACAUCAGGAAACGUGCAAAUAUGCUUUUGUUUGUUGCAAACACGAAACCAAACACACAUAGUUAUAGACUUCUAGUAGCUUAUAUACCACUACCAGUAACACAUCACAUUGAAAGUAUUUAUCACAUGAACACCAAACAUCAUUCAAAAUUAAAAUAGACUUAUUUCUAAGAAAAACAGAACCACAUGAGUCUUAGGCAGCAACAGUGGCAGUUUCAGAAGGUUUGUUCUCAGGCUCAAUAGAGACAACUGUGGCAGUUUCAGAAGGUUUGUUAUCAGGCUCAACAGGGUCAAUAGUUACAGCUUCUGAAGGCUUGUUUUCAGGUUCAGCCUCAGUUGCAGUUUCUGUGGGAUUGUUUUCAGGUUCUACCCAGAAUUCAGUUUUCUUUCCAGUUUUGGAAACAGUGUCAAAAACAUCUUGUGGCUUUACAUUUCCUUUCACAGUCACUUUUUGUUCCUUCAUAUCAAUGUCAAAUGAUUCUACACCUGUGAAGAACAAAUGUGUUAUUUUGAUACAAUAUUCAUAGAGGAUGUUUGGUUGGUAUAUGUCCAUCCCCUUGGUUAUGUCACAUAACACUAAUUCAAAUUCAAAUUGAAAGGUUUUGAAAAUUAUUUAAACAGUUUGAAAUGAAAUAACCAUGCUAUAGAUGUUGAAAUAGAAAUAAGUAAACAUAUGGACAGCAUAUCUUGAUUAACCUUUCAAAAAAAAAAACAUAUCUUGAUUAAUAAAAUUUAUGGGAAAAAAUAUAGAGAUAUUACAUUGUCACAAUUAUUAAUUCAACAUGAUAACAAAGAUUAUUUAUUUGCUCUAGGAAUUAAAAAUACCUUCCAUUUUUUCCAAGACCCUAUUGACUGCUCCUGAACAGCCUGAGCAUGACAUUUUUACUUUGAGGACAACGGUCUGCAAUGAUCACAAUGGAAAAAUUUCAAAUUCAUAGUAAAUAGCAUUUUUUUUUAUAAAGGUUAAGCACAUUCAUAAAUUGAAUUCAAUUUAAAAAAGGAAAAUAAUUUGAAGAUGGUGAUAAUAAGAACAAGGCCGUUCUCGUGAGUUUAACUCAGUUGAUAGAGACAAUGCAUAAUAUAUGCAAGAAUCAACAUUUGAGCCCCGGACACCUCACUUAUUCAUCUUAUAAAUGUGAAUUUCUAGCCACUAAACUACUUGACAAAAAAUAUAAGAACAAAGCAGGGCAUAAAAAAAGUAGGAAUAUCUGACAGAAUAGUCAUGUGUGGAUCCUUAGGAUAACUUGAUAAAGCAGAUUAAUCAAAAAAUGUAUUGCUAUCAAAAAAACAAAAUCAAACUAAUAACAACACAAAUUUAGGAAAAAACUGGAGGCCUACAUAUAUAAUCUAAAAGUAAAUCUAAAGAUUUGUAACAAACAAGGAAGAAAUAAUCAUUCUUUGCUUUAUUAGUGUUAGAAUUGAACUUCUACUUCGUAAUUUGUUGACAUGCAAUAACAAUGAAAUUUGUAUCAUGCAAUCAUCUUGUAUGUGAGUGCAUAUCAUCAAAAGGAAGAAAAAAAAUUGAUCAAUCUUCUCUACUUUCAUCAGAACCAAAUUUUCUAAUAUAAUUAUAAAACAAAAUACAAAAAAUUACAAAGGAUCCAUGAUAUCUCAAUUCAAAAACUCAUCAACUUCAACACAAAACGUCUAAAGCAAGGAACUAGAUCAAAGAAAAAACAUAAAAUAAUAAAUCCAGAAUCACAAUGAUCAAGCUUAAGAAAAAUAGAAGAUCAACAACAACAUAGAAAAAGAAGUAUAAAGGUUAAGCACCUCAGAAGACAUGGUUAUGAGUUUGAAAUAAAGUGAACCAAAAAGAAGAAGAAUGUAUUCUGAAUUGGAUGGUUAUGGAAUGAGGGUUGUGGUAAUGGGAGUGGUGCCUUUAUACUAAAAAUCAAUGAGAAUAUGUGGUAAUGGGAGUGGUAGUAGCAUUGUAAUAUACGGAAUUACUCCAUUAUGUUGCAAAAUAUUCUUUUUUUUUAAAAGCUAUUCACUUUGAGGGAUAAUGCAUAAUAUAUAUAGAGGCCGAAGUUCGAACACUCCAUUUAUAUGAUACUAGUAAUAGUUAAUUUUAUUUUUGUAAAAAAAAAAAGGAUAAAUUUUAUUAAAUUUUAGCAUUAGUUCUUUAACCCCUCAAAAGAAUUAUUAGUUCUUUAAAAAAGAUUUUUUUAUUUUUUCUUGAAUUAUUAAUACUUUACUAUCAUUUAAUUUAGUUUGACUUUAUGUCAAUUAUAUUUUUAUUAAUAUUUAUUAAAGUAUUUUGAAUUGUGUUAUGAUAAAAUAAGGAUUUAAUUCACAUACAUGAUAAGUUAAAGAAUUUUUACAUUAUCAGUCCCUCAAUAUUAUUUAGAAUAUAUAUUUGACUUUUAUAAUCAUAAUUAAUUUUAAAGUCAAAAUUAAACUCAAAAUGUUAUGAUAAGGAAUAAUUAAAUAAUUGUGAAAAUUUUGCUUACACGAUUUGAUGGAUGCAUUAAUCAUUGAAUUUUUUAAAUUAUGAGAUUAGACAUGAGCAGUUAGAAUUUAUUAAGAGUUUACUUUUAAUAGAAUAAGAUAAGAUUUUACUUGUUUUUUCUCAUUUGUUUAUGUUUCUAUAAUAGAAUUAGAAGUCAAGACAGGGUGUGCAGGUUGGUGAGCCAAUAUAUUGGAAGCAGGCUUAAUGAUAAUUAAAAGCAGAAUUUUGCAGUACAAAAGAAAUACAACCGGAGGUUCCAAUGCUUCCUUUUCAAGCUAAAAAAUUGUUGUACUUCACAGUUGAAUUCUAACUCUAUUUGUAAGUAUUGUAGUACAAGUCUAGAAGAACUUUUUUCUCUUUUUCUUUCUUUAUCAUCAACGAGAAUCGGUCUUACCUAAAACAAAAUGGUUGGGCCUUGAAGGGAACUCAUUGAUCAACAUAAAAGUGGAUUGCACACCCACUUUUUUGUAACCUCUUCUCAAUGGAAAGUUUUUUAUUCCAUAAACACUUACAUCGUCGCUGACACUCAACAUCAACGAAAAUCCUACUAUUGUCAGAAAGAUUUUCGUUACAACAAUGGUAAAAUGAAGGGAGUCUUGAAAUCAUCUUAUUGAAUUAGGAGAAAUCAUAUAAGUGAAGGGAACCUUGAAAUAAUCUCAUUGAAUCAGGAGUAAUAAACCUUGACAUUAGGUAUAUAAUCAAGUCAUCUUCACACUUACUAUACCAACAAAACAAACUUAUGAUAUUAUUUUUUUUGAGUAUGAUAUUUGAUUUUUUUUAUAAUUCGCAUAACUUUUCCGUUAAAUUAGUGAAAUUUAGAAAUAAAUAUAUAUAUCAUCAUUCAUUAUGUCGGUGUAUAGUUAGGACAAUGGGAUGAAAUAAAAUUGUACCCGCAUGGAUCCAUGGAUAGAAUAUGUAAGUAAAAUAAAUGAAUAUUUCAAUUACCCGUUAUUUAACAUGUACGUUGCGAAUUUAAUGAUACUCGUUCAUGUAAGUAUCAUUAUACUUGUUAAUAAAUUAAAAAAUUACUUAAAUAUCCUUACCUGAAUAUAAAAGUUGUCUUUCAAACUAUUUCCAUAAAAGAAAAACCUAGAUAUUAUUUAUGUUCCUCUCUUUUGGACCUCUCAGUGCUUCCAUAGACCUCAUAUUUUGUAUACUUUUGUUGAAUGUGAUGAACUUUAUUUUGGUUGAUGAAAUGUAUUAAUAUUAUUAUGUUUUCGAAAAAUGAAGUAAAUGAAUGUGACAAACUUUUGUCGCUAUAUUUUAGGUAAUUAAAAAAAAUUACAUUUAUUUUAUAAUGUUAUCCAGGAAUAUCCAUUAAAAAAAAUUGAAAACUAGGUAUCCGAUCCAAUAACCGACUAUUUUGAGGGGAUCAAUCUCACUAGCCACAUGCGGAGGCCUCGUUUAAAGCCAAACAAAGUUAUGCAUGGACUUGUCCACCAAAAUUAGCACCAAAGGGAAUCGAACAUGAGACAUUGAGAGGAGCACGCUCCAAGAUUCUCAAGCCAACCACUAGACCAACCCCAAAUGAGUAUGAAUAUUGAUAAAUACUCGUUGAUACCUCAAAAUUUGUGGAUUACUCACAUAAUGGAUAUCCACGUGAAUAUGAAGAAACCAUGUGUUUAUGUACGGACUUGCCCACCGAAAUUAGCAUCAGAGAAAAGCGAACCCGAGACUUUGAGAGGAGCACACUCCAAGAUCCCCAAGCCAACCACUAGACCAACCCCAAAUGAGUAUGAAUGUUCAUAAAUACUCGUUGAUACCUCAAAAUUUAUGGAUUACUCGUAUAAUAGAUAUCCACAUGAAUAUGGAGAAAACACGUGUAAUAGAUUUAUCCAAUGGAGCGAACAUAUAUAUCAUAUAAUUCGUGUGUGCAGAUACCCAUUUACAUCCCUAGUUAGGACUCACAAACAAAUUAAUAUAUGGGUUAAUAGGUCUUUAUCCCUCUGUAAUAUAGGUCAUUUCCGGUUUCCCUCCUGUAAAUUUUUUUUUUAUUUACCCCUUGUAAAAAAAAAAAAUAUUUACCCCCUAAUAGGCCAAACAAAAACGAAAAAUUUCUUGAAAAAAAAUUUUUGUUUUUGUUUGGCCUAUUAGGGGGUAAAUCAAAACAAAAAGAUUUUACAGGGCGUAAAUAAAUAAAAAAUUACAGGGGAGAAAACCGGAAAUGACAUAUAUUAUAGGAGGUAAAGACCUAUUAACCCAUAAUAUAUUAUUUACAUGCUUGAGGAUAUAUAAUUUGAUAUUUUCUUACAGUUUAAUCUUUAAUGCUAAGAGUCUUGAGUUAGAAUAUACCAUACCAUCCCAACUCGAGUGUUUAUAUGCGUAAGAAUUAAGAUUAGUUCAACAAAUAAAGUUGAGUUAGGAAAAAAAAUCAAAUUAUUAUAGAGAUAGCGACAAUAUUUUGAGGUUUUAGUUUUUACAAUAAAGUAAGGUUGAAGAAAUAUUAUUAUUGCAUGGCAUGCAAUAAUGAAGUGGGCUUCGUCAUUCCUCCAAUCAAAAUUGUCCCCCUCUUAGUGGAAUGAAUUCCUUAAAGCAUAGGAUAAUAUUGCAGUACAAGAAAUGUAAUACAACCUUUAUUAAGCAAAAACUAAUAAUAUGGUAGUAUGUAGUACCAUGACACUUUUGAGUAUGAAUUCCAAUAUUGUAUUGGUAGAUACUAACCUUGUAGUACAAAGUAGGUGUCUCAAACGUUGUACUAUACUCUUUCUUUUUUUGGGAUACAAUGUACUACUCUCUUUAUUUACUAUAGUCAGUACCACAUAUGCAUGGGUAGAACUUAAGAAAGGUUAAGUCAUAUAUUCUCUCUCAAAAAAAAAAAAAAAAAGUUAAGUCAUAUAUAACCUCAACUAAUUGAGCUUGCAUGGCAUUAUAUCCCACUAAUGGUAUGUUAAGAUGGAAUUUAUUUUGUAAGAAAAGAGGGAAACGACUAAACAAUAAGUCGAGAAGUACUAAGUAUUAACGCAUCUAUGGUUUCUUCUUAAGCAAGCAAUCUGAAACUAGGGUUUCUAAUGAAGGAGAAGAAGAUAGUUAUGGCGGUUAGGGUUUGUUAUAGUUUGAUGAAAGAGAGAGAGAUAGUAUUGGAAAGUUGUUAUUCAUGUUGGAUUAUGAAAAGUUAGUUACAAGCAAGUAUAUAUACAAUGACUUAGAGAGCAAGUCUCUUGUAACAACCUGACAAACUUAUCCAAAAAAUAAACUAAACUCUUAAUCACUUGCUAAACAUGAUUAUGGAUUAAAAACACAAACUAAUACUAACAUACACUACAAAGCUAAAUUAAGCAAAGAAAAAAUAUAAUCAACACUAAAGAAUGAAUUAUGUUAGCAAGCAAGUGAAUCGUAUGUGUUAGGCCCUAUAGGGAUUUAUUAGAAGUUCUCUAAUUAGGGUGUUGGAGAAUAAAACAAUCUCAUGGAGAAAAGAUUGGAGAAAAAUAAUGGACUACUCUUCGAAUUCACAAUGUGAACAACAAUUUUUUAUAAUACAUUUCAAACGCAACCGGGUUUAGAGCUAAAUCAUGAGCCAAUUUUAAAUCCAAAUGAAGAGCCCACAAACAAUUUAUAUUUCUUUUAAACAUAAACAAUCCUAAAAGGAGAAAACUUAGGUACAAUUCCUUAUGUACUUUUCGUAUGGUUUUUAACUAAAUUCACCAUGAUUUCCUCAAAUCCAUAAUUUUCACAAAGUUUGUUAUAUCCAAAAAAUAUGUAUUUUUAGUUAAGAACCAUACAAAAAGUACCUAAGUAAUUGUAUCUAAGUUUUCUCCAUCCUAAAAUUCAGAAGAAAAAAAAUAUGAGAGAUGUUCACACUUACUUAUUGGUUGUAGAUAAUAUGUGAUUUCUAUGACUUUAUUAAAUUUGUUGAAGAUCAACAAUUGAAUGAAUAAAUAAGUCUUUUGGUCCAAAGUUCAAGUUUGAAAAGUUUAAACUAGGACAUCAUUAGGCUGAUGAGGCGUCUCAUUUGGUGUUGAUAUAUUUUUUUUUUUUUAUCCUCGUGAGCUUAGCUCAGUCGGUAUGGACAAUGCAUAAUAUAUGCAAGGUUCGGGUUCAAACCUGGCCACCACAAAAAAAAAAAAAAAAAAACAUUUUUGAUUGUUAAAAAAAAGUUUCAAAAGUUUAAACCACCAAAAACGUAUAUGGCAGAUUGUUGAGAAAUUAAAAAUGGGAGUUAUCUACAGAAACUCACCAAACGGGAGUUAUCUCCGGAACAAAUUUGAGAAAUUAAAAAUGGUCAGAUUAAAAUUGAAGAUUUUUUAUGGGGAUUAUAAAUGCAUUUAAGUUAAAAAAAAAUUCUAUGAUGAAGUCAUGAGAAUGACUUUUCUGGUGAAGUUAAUCCUAUGACUAAUCUAUUUCUCUUCUUAAAGUUUGCUUUGAUAAUUUAAAAAUAAAUCCAAAAAUGUAUGUAUUCCUUAUCUGAGAUUCCAUAUUCUUUCAAUGAUGUCUCAUGAAAACAUAUGCAAUAAUCAAUAUGUGCUUGAAAGGUGCAACCACAAAUUGAUUGAGAUGAAACAAGACAGAGUUCAAGAGGUUAAAGCCCACCUAUCCAGGUUCAACAUAAAUAUAGCCAAUCAUUCAAAACCGACGAUCUCUUCUAAUCAUAAACUAAUAGGUUAAAAAUUAUUUCAACUUAUGGAUGUCUUACAAGUAUGCAAACUUCAUUAUGGGAACCCAAAAACUACAACAAAAAAAUUACAGGGACUAAAACCAAAACGAGACAUAUAUGCAGAGACUAUUAGCCAAAAAAAAAUAUACUGGGAAGGACAAAUUUUACAACUGUUUCUAAUAAGAUUUGAACAAAGUUACAAAAUCAAAUUCUUAUUAUUAAGUUGAUAUCUCAUCAUUCAUCAAUAACAAUGUCUUUAUUGAAUUAUAAAAUACUCAAAUCAAUUAAUCUCAAAGUUUAGCUUAGGGUUCACGAUCUGAAAUAAUGCUUUGAGUUCUUGAUUCACGAGUUGCUUCACUGAAAUUUCUCUCAAAGGAAUGCUUAAUGGUGUAACCUCAAUGGAAAAACUUUGUGACACACUUUUCAUUGUUGGUCUAGAGGAAGGAUUUGGAUUUAAGCAUGCAGAUGCUACUACAACAACAUGAAUUAUGUCAAGUAAAACUUUCACAUCAUUUGGAAGUGGGAGACGUUGGUCUAAUACUUCACAUAAUUUGAUGUCUUGAGUUGAUGUUAAUUGAAGUGAUGACAAUAUUUCCUCGGGAUAUCUUCCCACUAAAAUUUCAAGUGCCACUACUCCAAAACUAUAUACAUCACAUUUUUCACUUACAACCAUAGUAUAUGCAAGCUCUGCAUUGACCAAACCACAAUGAGAAAGUCAAAGGAUGUGAAAAUACACUUAAAAAUAGAAAAUGAUAAAGAUAAUAUAAAAAUAUAUUAUUAUAACUAACUCUUAAAUAUAAAAAGUAUAUAUUAUUUUUAAUUGGGAGUUUAUUUGAAACAAGUAAUGAUUAUAUUUAACAAUUCAAAAUGAGAAUUUCUUUUCAACGAGACCUUGUAUUUAAGGGUAAAGUUAGGAGUAGACUUUUAUGACCUUAGUAUUAAAAACAAUUAAACAUGUAUGUCUUUUUUUCGUCAAGUAAUCUAAUGGCUAAAAUUCACAUUUUUUAAGAUGAAUAAGUGGGGUGUCUGGGGUUCGAAUCCCGACCCCUGCCAACUGAGUUAUUCUCACGGGGACUUAAACAUGUAUGUUAUUUGCCUGGAUUAUGAAUAUGUUUGUUAUGCAUCAUACAAAAAUUGGAAUAAAUUAAAUAAAGAGACAAGAAUAAAAUUAAUGCAAUUAAUAAUUUACCAGGAGCUAUAUAUCCAAUAGUUCCACCAACUAUUGUUUGAUUAGAUGAAUCAUAUUGAAGGAGUCGAGCUAUGCCAAAGUCAGAAACACUAGGCUGCCAUUCUGAGUUUAGCAAGAUAUUGCUAGUAGAUACAUCUCUAUGCACUAUUGGAGAGGUGAAAUCAUGAUGAAGAUAUGAUAGAGCAGAUGCAACUCCUUUAAUGGUGUUAACCCUUUUCCUCCAAUCGAAUUUUAUGGCUUCGACAUCAUCAUGCAAGACGGAGAACAAGCUUCCUUUUUCCAUAUACUGAUAGAUCAAAAACAU